GGAGGGUCAGAGGCCAGUCUAUGAACGCAAGUUCGGUGGCCACCUUGGCCGGUGGAGCGGCGCUGACCCGGAUCCUAGUGUGGCUGCUCUUUCCCUGUUGAGCGAGCCCUGCUUAGUCCUGACAGUGACGGACAAAGGCCUUAACGGGCCUGGACGAAAAAAUGUCUUCUGGAAAUGACUUUGAGGUGGAAUUGUUAGCCUCUGCGGUGCUCGUCCACGUUUGCUGAGUGGGUUAGAGGACACAGAGCCAAAGACCUUGAGAAGGAGAAGAGUCUACGCCAAUUGGGUCGUAUUUCGAAGACAUUUCAUAUUGCAACCGUUGUUUUGUGUGUGCAUUUUAUUCCUCACUGCUGUAUAUAUAGUUGACAAAACUUAAGUACUUUUUUGAAAUAUCUAGUCUUCCUAGAUGUUCUGAAGUGCCUGAUAUAUGUUAAAAGUAGAAAUAGUAAUGCUUUUUGUAAAUACCUUUUUUUAAAGUUCAUAUAAAAUUCUUCUGGGGAAUGGCUAAACCACCUCUUGAGUAGUAUACAUUGUUUGUGCAUGGGUUCAGGAGAAAAGCGAGAAGAGCUUUAUGCUAGUGUGCUUGCAGUGGGGCAAGAUUAACCAUUGUUCUUGUGUCUGUAUUUUGUCUUCCUUACCUAUGUAUAUAGUAUAUUAUAUAAAGGACAAAGAAGUCCUAAUUUACAUCUAGUCUUUCUAGAUGUUUAAAGAGGUUGCCAGUGUAUGACAAAAGUAGAAUUAGUAAACUGAUAUAUUUUGUACAUUUUUGUUAUAAAAUUCCUAGGAAAGAUUGUCUUCUGAAAAUUUGAACUUUAUAGCCUACUGGGUUGGAGGAAGAGGGAAGGGUUGUAGGCCAGAAUGUUCCAUAUUUCAAAGACACUUUCAGAUUAUACCUUUUGUUACAUAAGUGUGCAGUUUAAAACUGCUGUGUAUAUAUAGUGGACAAAUCCUUACCUGAAACAUCUAGUCUACCUAGAUGUUUAGAAGUGCCCAACGUAUGUUAAAUGUAGAGGUAGUAAAAUAUCACUUUGUAAAUAUUUUUGCUAAAACUCACAGGAAAUACUGCUUUUUAGAAAUAGAAUUGUCAAACCACCUCUGUGAGCAGUAUAGUACCAUCUAUACUUGUUCAAUGGUUGGAGGAGGUGGGAGGGAAAGAAUUGCAAAAGGUAAUAUGCUCAUGUGCUCGUGCUUGGACGUUUUCAGAUACCACUUUGUGCGUUUUGUUUUGCUAUGUAUACAGUGUGUAUAAUGGACAGAUGAGUCUUAGGUUUGCAAUAUCUAUCUCCAGAUGUUAAAGUGUUUGCCAUGUAUGACAAAGUACUUAGUAAAAUUAGCACAUCUUGUAUGCUUUGUGCUGAAGUUCAUAGGAAAGCUUGUCCUCUACAAAUGACUUUUGGAUAUGAAUUUGUUCAGUCCUUUCUAUGCACUGUACACGCCCGUACUUGUCAUUGAAGGCAGAGAGAAGGAAAUAAGUAGGGAAUGGUUCAAAGUCAAAACAGUGAUAUUCCUCAGAUUAUAGACGUUGCUGUGUGCAAUUUUAUUUAACAGUGCUGUGUACAUAGGACAAGUUCUUAUAUGAAAUAUCUAGUCUUUCUAGAUAGUACAAGUGUUUUAUGUAGUUAAAAGUAGUAGUAGUAGAAUAACAGUUUGUAAAUAGUUUUUAAAAACUGUUGGGAAAUACUGUUUGGAAGUAGAAUUGUUAAAGCCACCUCUGUGAACACUAUACUCUCUGUACUUGUUCAUCACUCUCUGGAGGUGGGAGGAAGAAAUUGCAAAAGGUGUUUUUGCUCUCGAGUACUAGAUAGUUUCAGCUUAUCCAUUGCCCUGUAUGUUGUGUGCAUUUCAUUUAACUUUGCCAUAUUGUGUAUCAGUGGCUCUCAAACUUCCUCAUGCCGCGGCCCUUUAAUACAGUUCCUGUGGGUCGCGACCCCACAGGUGGAGAACCGCUGUUGUAUAUACUGUAUAUACAUACUGGACAAAUGAGUCCCAAUUUUAUAAUAUCUAGUUGCUAGAUAUUAAAGAGGUUGCCAAUGUAUGACAAAAGUAGAGUUAGUAAGCUAACCUUUUGUAUACUUUUGUGUUAAAAUUCAUAGAAAGGCUGUCUUCUGAAAAGGAUGUUUAGAAGUGCAAUGAUACCAUCUAAAUGACAUGUGCUUAUAUCUGCAGGGUUGGUGUUGGAGAGGAGUUGGAAGAAAUAGAUUCUAGACCAAAAUGUUCCUUUUUAGAAGACAACUUUCAGAUAUAACCACUGUUACAUGUGUGUAGUUUAUUCAACACUACUGUGUAUAUAUAGUGGACAAACUUAAGUCCUUAUUUGAAACAUCUAGUCCUUCUGGAUGUUUAGAAGUGCACAAAGUAUGUUAAAAGUAGAGGUAGUAAAUAACAUUUUGUAGAUAUGCUUUUGUUAAAAUUCAUAUGAAAUACUGUCUUGGAAACUGAAUGAUCAGACCACUUGUCUGAGCAGUACACAUUAUUUGUGCUGGUUCAGGGCUGAAGGAAAGGAAAGUGCAAAGGGCUGUGUACCAAUGUGGUUAGAGUUGAGGCAAGAUUGACUGUUACGUCUGUGCUUUUGAUUUUACUUUGCUGUGUAUAUAGUGUAUAUAAAGGACAAAUGAGUCCGAAAUUACAACAUCUAGUCUUUCUAGAUGAUAAAAAGGUUGCCAGUGUAUGACAAGAGUAGCAUUAGUAAAGUAAUACAUUGAGUAGACUUUGAGUUAAAAUCCAUAGGAAAGACUUUUUAAAGAUUUAUGAAAGUGAAAUUACUGAAUACCCUCUAAGCAUUACAGGUAUGCUUAGACCUGUCUGCUGGGUUGGUAGAGGUGGGAAGGGGGAGUGUUUUAGGCCAGAAUGUUCCUAUUUAGAGGACACUUUGAAAUUAUAGCUUUUGUUGAGUGUGCACCAUUUAUUCAAUGCUACUAUGUAUAGUGGGAAAAAAACUUAAGUCCUGUUUGAAACAUCCAGUCUUUUCUAGAUGUUAAAAGUGCACAACAUUUGUUAAAAAUAGAGGGCUACAGUAACAUUCUAAGUGUUUUUGUUGUUUCAUAGGAGUGGUUGCAUUUAGGGAAUGGAAUUGUUAAACUUGGUGUCUUGGAGAGUAUGCCGUCACUGGGAGGUGGGGGGAAGGGAGGAGAAAGUAUGCAGAGAAGGGCUCUGUGCCAGUGAGUUAGACUAGUUCAGAUUGCUUAGCUCAGUGGUUCUCAACCUUCCUAAUGCCGCAGCCCUUUAAUGCAGUUCCUGUGGGUCGCGACCCACAGGUUGAGAACCGCUGACUUAGCUGUUGUUCUUUAUGUGCAUUUUAGUUAAUAUUGCUGUGUAUUAGAGGAUAAGCAGAUCUUAAUGCUCAAAGUAUGUUAAAAUAGAGGUAGUAAAAUAAAACAAUCCCUUUAUAUAUGUCCUUUGUUAGUUUUUAGGAAGGAAUGUCUGCGAGGAGUGACCCCUGUUAAUCCACUUCUUGGAGCUGGAGCGGGGGAAGGAGAAGAGGAAAGGUGAAGGGAAGGGCUCUUUGCUAGUAUCUCCAUAUCUAGAAGAUGGUUUUAGAUUAUAACCAUAGGUCUAUACGUGCAUUUUUAGUAAAGUAUCUGUGUUUGUUGUGGACAGAGUUCAUUAUUUUGCAACAUCAAAGCUUUGGAGAUGUCCUGAGGUGACAUUGUAUGAUAAAAAGUAGAAUUAGUGAAUUAGCCAUUUUGUGAGUCUUUUUUUGUUAUAAUUGAUAGAAAAGAUGCAUCUUGGACGUGGACUUGUUAAACCACCUCUGAGCUAUGAUAGGCUGGCAGCACAGGGGCAGAAGGAAGCCUGAUAGGGGAGGUGUGUGCAGGUGUGUUCACAUUACGUUUUGACGGUAGCCACCGAUGCAUGUGCAUCCCUUUUGGCUAUACUAUAAAAAUAUAUAGAUUAAGUCAUUCAGUGGAAACAUGCCUUCUUGCUAAUAUUUUAAUGGUAUACAUCUGAUAAUUAUAAACAUUAUACUUAGUGUACUUUUGCUUUAUGUUUCAUUUUAAAGUGAGCAUUAAGGGAAUGCAGUAAUUUUUUUUUUGGAAUGCAGUAUUUUAAUCGGAACUCUGCCAGUACUUUUAUCUAGAGGCUUGUUGCCAUUUUUGUCUUCUAUGAAAUUUUCGUCCCAAGAAAGGCAGGAUUACACUCUUUCCUAACAGAUUGAGUUGGUGUAGUAUAUUCUUGGUUAUCAAAAUACUCCUAGAGCUUUGAGAUUGGGAUUGGUAAAUAUUCAUGAUGUGUGAAAAAGCAUGACACAUAAUGUGCAAUCUCAAUCCCAGGAAAUCGGGUAUUGUGUGUGUACACUCGGGAUCUGGAAGGAUGUGUCAAAUAAAACUGCUUGUGAUUGUGGAUGACUUUGUUCUUUGCUUCCUGUGUUUUUCAGUUUCCUAUACUGCAUAUAUUAACUUUAAAAAAAUAAAAGUUAUUGUAAAAACUUGUA